rnacentral:rRNA from 1 species
GAUGAACGCUGGCGGCGUGCCUAAUACAUGCAAGUCGAGCGAACAGACGAGGAGCUUGCUCCUCUGACGUUAGCGGCGGACGGGUGAGUAACACGUGGAUAACCUACCUAUAAGACUGGGAUAACUUCGGGAAACCGGAGCUAAUACCGGGUAAUAUAUUGAACCGCAUGGUUCAAUAGUGAAAGACGGUUUUGCUGUCACUUAUAGAUGGAUCCGCGCCGCAUUAGCUAGUUGGUAAGGUAACGGCUUACCAAGGCGACGAUGCGUAGCCGACCUGAGAGGGUGAUCGGCCACACUGGAACUGAGACACGGUCCAGACUCCUAUGGGAGGCAGCAGUAGGGAAUCUUCCGCAAUGGGCGAAAGCCUGACGGAGCAACGCCGCGUGAGUGAUGAAGGUCUUCGGAUCGUAAAACUCUGUUAUUAGGGAAGAACAAAUGUGUAAGUAACUAUGCACGUCUUGACGGUACCUAAUCAGAAAGCCACGGCUAACUACGUG